ensembl:snoRNA SNORD15 Small nucleolar RNA SNORD15
CUUCAAUGAAGAGAUGAUGACGAGUCUGACUUGGAGGCUUGUUAUCUUUGUCCAGGUUGCCUACUCUGUGCCAUGUUCUAUGGCACAGUUUAAAAGGCACUGGGUGAAGUGACUUCCUAAAGAUGACCUAGAGGCAUUUGUCUGAGAAGG